rnacentral:rRNA from 1 species
UACGUAGGGUGCAAGCGUUGUCCGGAAUUAUUGGGCGUAAAGAGCUCGUAGGCGGUCUGUCGCGUCGGCUGUGAAAACCCGCAGCUCAACUGCGGCUUGCGGUCGAUACGGGCAGACUAGAGGUAUGCAGGGGAGAACGGAAUUCCUGGUGUAGCGGUGAAAUGACGCAGAGUAUCAGGAGGAACACCCGGUGGGCGAAGGCGGGUU